rnacentral:rRNA from 1 species
AUUGAACGCUGGCGGCAGGCCUAACACAUGCAAGUCGAACGGUAACAGGAAACAGCUUGCUGUUUCGCUGACGAGUGGCGGACGGGUGAGUAAUGUCUGGGAAACUGCCUGAUGGAGGGGGAUAACUACUGGAAACGGUAGCUAAUACCGCAUAACGUCGCAAGACCAAAAGAGGGGGACCCUCGGGCCUCUUGCCAUCGGAUGUGCCCAGAUGGGAUUAGCUUGUUGGUGGGGUAACGGCUCACCAAGGCGACGAUCCCUAGCUGGUCUGAGAGGAUGACCAGCCACACUGGAACUGAGACACGGUCCAGACUCCUACGGGAGGCAGCAGUGGGGAAUAUUGCACAAUGGGCGCAAGCCUGAUGCAGCCAUGCCGCGUGUAUGAAG